AAACAAAAUAUCAGAACAGCCGUUGCACUACGCAGACAAAAUCUUAAUCCUGGAAGAUAUUUUCGACCACGAACCCAUCCCUACACCUUUGGUGAUAAACAAAUACCGUAAGACAGUCGUCUAUUGGGACGUGGAGGAUUACCCGGUUCCUAACGAUAUCUAUAUUGAUUCGCUUCGUAGGGAUAUAGAAUCGAUUCUUCUGGAUUUGGGCUGUGAGGAGGUGUCUAUUGUGGCUUACGUUUACAAGAAUAGGUUUUCGGAUGAACUGUAACGUAAAUUUAUGGAUGCCAAAUUUUUUGUCGAUUUCUUACCCGAGGGGGAUGAUGACUUUGCGAGAAUGACUUGGAUGUUAGUGGACAUUAUUUGUUUGCCCGUGGUAUUUCCUAAACCAAAUGUUAUCGUACUCUCAAAACACAUGGAAAAAGAGGCUGUUGGUUGUUUCCAAGGCAUGUAUUUUAACGGUGUUGGGGUUCUCUUAUCCAAAACUGAACCUGGCUGGCUUGUUCCUGAUGAGAGUUCAGCAUUUAAACUUACAAGGCUAUUUGAACAACGUCUUGACUGUGAGAAGCCGCAGAGAGAGGAUACCCUUGCAAACUCUGUCGGCGACUCUGUCAAGGACUACCCUUGUGCGCGCCUCCAAAGGGAGGCCAAUGUAUCUUCUUGAAAGUUUUAUGUUAACUGUGUUUCGACUGUGUGUCCGUCUUUGUAUAGCUGUUACUUUUUUUGGGUUUGAUGACAUGAGGGUUUGGAACAUAUAUUACUCCUUUGUCUUACUUUUUAACUAAACCCUGUUGCAAUGUGGCCUUUAGUUUAGAUGAUUGAAAGCAAACCCGUUUCUUUUAA